UUUACCCUUUAUUCCUAACAUGGGACUGAACAGUAAACAGAGAUAAAAUUGAACAGACAAGAAAUAUAGAUCAACACCAGCAGGACAGCUGACUUCCAAUGAUGACCAACAUGCAGGCAUUUCUAAAGGACAUCCUCAAAAGGGAAGAAAACCCAAUGGAAAAAGAGAUCAAAACAGGAUGACAGCCACACAAAUGUGGAUUCAGUUCAAAGUCAAAAGCUAUUUCAAUGCAUCUUGCACAAUUUUUAAGCUUUCUGGUUUGAAGUAAAUCAGUUCAAGUACCACAAAAUGAUGGAAGUCUCUAUCAAGCUUUUUGAGAGCUUUCAUGAAGAUGGAGACUGGAUGCAACAAGGUCACACAGGCCCUGCCCUGGGUGAUAACUUAUAUAUAAAAUAGACACACACACACACACACACACCACCCCACUCUGAGACAAAAGGAGCCUUUCCCAGCGCACAGUGCUGGAGGCAGUAACUGGAGUUGGCUAGAGAGGAAGCUAUCACAAGAUGAUGGAGGAUUUCUGUUAGAGAAGCAGGAAGAAUGACAGGGCUGCCCUUCCGUGGAGGGAAAGAGAACACGCUGACUAGUAGCCACUUACUCCUAUCCUGUGAAGAAAGAGCAACCCGCCCCCGGGGGAUGCAGUAAACAAGGAGCAAGGAGGAGUGUGUAUGAAUCAGGUCCUCUACAGUGAUAUUGCUCAGGACCAGCAGGUAGAAUAUAUAUGUCACCUGCCAAAUCCCAGUUUUUUCAUGUCAGCACAGUUUGUUCCUGGAAUGGAGCUGAGUGAUAGAUGUGUCACAGCCUUUGAACAAUGAACAUUCCAUUCUACUUACCUUCUGUCAUCUUUUAUUUGAGUCUGUUCCUUUCCCAUGUCAGAAAAAUACACCGUACUGUCAUUUGGCGUUCAGAGAUGCUGCAAGCACAUCUAGAAAUGUCUUCAUUAACCUGCACCAAAUUAAAGGUAUUUUCCAAAUCACAACAGGAAAGUACAGCAGAAGAUGGAACUAAAAAUUGUUAUGGAAAUGAAAAGGCAUUGCUGCAGAAGAAAGGAAGAAGUAAGUCAGCACAGGAUAUUUCUUCCUGUAGCCUGCUCAGAGAAAUCCAUCCUAACUGGCUUAGGAUGAAUGAUAAUGGGGUGGAGCAAAGCAAAGAUGAAGAGGGAGGAACAGGAAAAUUUUCUCAAUCUUCAGCCUCUCCUUUUUGAAACCAACUUCAGGUCCUCCAUGUACAUGGAUAGUGCAGAGAAGAGGAAGACUAUCUCACUUUUCAUAGAGUAAUUUGAUACAUUAUGUGACAGAUUCUUAUUUAAGUAUAAACAGGUGGUUUCAUGAAGCAGAAAGAAAUAACUCCCUCUUUUAAACUAAUAGUCCUGCCGUUCACCACAAGGCAUGCCAAAAUUUAAUUUGCCUGGUGUAAAUUUACCACAUCAACAUGAAAAUAAUUCACUUUUGUUUAAAUGCCAGCCAUUACGAAGAAGGUCAUGUAUUUCUUACGGCUAUCAAUAACAUAUCUAAAGCAGUUAUCAAGUACUCAACUCCUCCUAUGUUAAUUUUCACUUAUAUUUUUAAAAGGGACAUAUUCUUAACCCAAGUAUUGCUUCAAAAUAAUAGCAUAAUUAUGACAAAUAGCGUUUUUCAUAAUAGCAAAUUCUUCAAACUGAAAGAUGCAUAUGAGAAACAGACACAAUGUAACAUAAUUGCUUUUGCCAUUUUUGCCUACCAUUGUUUUGGAAACUUGUUAACUUUGAUUCACUCAGCAUGGUUUUAUAUUCCUUAUGUUUUUAGUAUGCAAUCAACCCCUGGAGUAAAACAGAUAACAGUUGGGUAUGCA